rnacentral:rRNA from 3 species
AACGACUCUCGGCAACGGAUAUCUCGGCUCUCGCAUCGAUGAAGAACGUAGCGAAAUGCGAUACUUGGUGUGAAUUGCAGAAUCCCGUGAACCAUCGAGUCUUUGAACGCAAGUUGCGCCCGAAGCCUUCUGGCCGAGGGCACGUCUGCCUGGGCGUCACGCUU